rnacentral:rRNA from 1 species
AUUGAACGCUGGCGGCAGGCUUAACACAUGCAAGUCGAGCGGUAACAGGAGAAGCUUGCUUCUCGCUGACGAGCGGCGGACGGGUGAGUAAUACUUAGGAAUCUACCUAGUAGUGGGGGAUAGCUCGGGGAAACUCGAAUUAAUACGGCAUACGACCUACGGGAGAAAGGGGGCAACUUGUUGCUCUCGCUAUUAGAUGAGCCUAAGUCGGAUUAGCAAGAUGGUAGGGUAAAGGCCUACCAUGGCGACGAUCUGUAGUUGGUCUGAGAGGAUGAUCAGAGACCGCGGGACUGAGACACGGCCCGGACUGCUAUGUGAUGGAGUAGUGGGAAGUAUUGGAGAAUGGGGGCAACCCUGGUCGAGCGAUGCCGGGAGUGUGAAGAAGGCCUUUUGGUUGUAAAGCACUUUAAGCAGUUAAGAAGACUCUAGGGUUAUUACCCUUAGACGAUGACAUUAGCUGCAGAAUAAGCACCGACUAACUCUGUGCCAGCAGCCGCCGUAA